rnacentral:rRNA from 1 species
CCUACGGGUGGCAGCAGUGGGGAAUAUUGGACAAUGGGCGAAAGCCUGAUCCAGCCAUGCCGCGUGUGUGAAGAAGGCCUUCGGGUUGUAAAGCACUUUCAGUGGGGAAGAAAGCCUUGGGGCUAAUACCCUCGAGGAAGGACAUCACCCACAGAAGAAGCACCGGCUAACUCCGUGCCAGCAGCCGCGGUAAUACGGAGGGUGCGAGCGUUAAUCGGAAUUACUGGGCGUAAAGCGCGCGUAGGCGGUCUGAUAAGCCGGGUGUGAAAGCCCCGGGCUCAACCUGGGAACGGCAUCCGGAACUGUCAGGCUAGAGUGCAGUAGAGGAAGGUAGAAUUCCCGGUGUAGCGGUGAAAUGCGUAGAGAUCGGGAGGAAUACCAGUGGCGAAGGCGGCCUUCUGGACUGACACUGACGCUGAGGUGCGAAAGCGUGGGUAGCAAACAGGAUUAGAUACCCCAGUAGUC